UACGAAGGGUGCAAACGUUGCUCGGAAUUAUUGGGCGUAAAGCGCACGUAGGCGGCUUUGCAAGUCGGAUGUGAAAUCCCUCGGCUCAACCAAGGAAGUGCACUCGAAACUGCGUAGCUAGAGUCCUGGAGAGGAAGGUGGAAUGCUUGGUGUAGAGGUGAAAUUCGUAGAUAUUCGGAAGAACACCAGUGGCGAAGGCGACUCGCUGGACAAGUAUUGACGCUGAGGUGCGAAAGCGUGGGGAGCAAACAGG
rnacentral:rRNA from 1 species